rnacentral:rRNA from 1 species
CAGGAGCUUGGUAUCACCGCACUGCACAUUAAGCUCCGUGCCACUGGAGGCAACAAGACCAAGACACCAGGUCCUGGAGCUCAGUCUGCUCUCAGGGCUCUUGCUCGUUCUGGGAUGAAAAUUGGGCGUAUUGGUACGCCAUGCUUCUUCAAAUAUAGUGUUUGUGGAAGCACAUAUGUCCAUGUUAUUGUCUCUGCAUAUGGCUAA